AUCCUGGCUCAGGAUGAACGCUAGCUACAGGCUUAACACAUGCAAGUCGAGGGGAAACGACAUCGAAAGCUUGCUUUUGAUGGGCGUCGACCGGCGCACGGGUGAGUAACGCGUAUCCAACCUGCCCAUCACUUGGGGAUAACCUUGCGAAAGUAAGACUAAUACCCAAUGACGUCUCUAGAAGACAUCUGAAGGAGAUUAAAGAUUUAUCGGUGAUGGAUGGGGAUGCGUCUGAUUAGCUUGUUGGCGGGGUAACGGCCCACCAAGGCAACGAUCAGUAGGGGUUCUGAGAGGAAGGUCCCCCACAUUGGAACUGAGACACGGUCCAAACUCCUACGGGAGGCAGCAGUGAGGAAUAUUGGUCAAUGGACGAGAGUCUGAACCAGCCAAGUAGCGUGCAGGAUGACGGCCCUAUGGGUUGUAAACUGCUUUUAUAAGGGAAUAAAGUGAGUCUCGUGAGACUUUUUGCAUGUACCUUAUGAAUAAGGACCGGCUAAUUCCGUGCCAGCAGCCGCGGUAAUACGGAAGGUCCGGGCGUUAUCCGGAUUUAUUGGGUUUAAAGGGAGCGUAGGCCGGAGAUUAAGCGUGUUGUGAAAUGUAGACGCUCAACGUCUGCACUGCAGCGCGAACUGGUUUCCUUGAGUACGCACAAAGUGGGCGGAAUUCGUGGUGUAGCGGUGAAAUGCUUAGAUAUCACGAAGAACUCCGAUUGCGAAGGCAGCUCACUGGAGCGCAACUGACGCUGAAGCUCGAAAGUGCGGGUAUCGAACAGGAUUAGAUACCCUGGUAGUCCGCACGGUAAACGAUGGAUGCCCGCUGUUGGUCUGAAUAGGUCAGCGGCC
rnacentral:rRNA from 1 species